CAUGACAUGAGCAGCUUUCCCGCACCAGGCCCUUUCACCACGCUGUUUCUGGGUCUGAGCCAGCCGACCAUGGACUGGGGCUUCGGAAAUAGGUCUCAGUGCUCGGCUUUGUCAUCCACGGUCAAGAAAUUCUCGUGGCUGAGUCUCAUGUUGGUCGGUGAUAGAGCACAGAGCGACCCCAUCUGUUGACAGCGUGGUUACACCUCUCAAAAACAGGAUUCAAAGAACCCUUAUUUGAAGGUGUGAAGUCAAAGCUGAUAAAAGGUAAAGACUUUCAUGCAGAA